rnacentral:rRNA from 1 species
UACAGAGGUGGCAAGCGUUGUUCGGAAUUACUGGGCGUAAAGCGCACGCAGGCGGCCGUGCACGUGGGGUGUGAAAGCCGGUGGCUUAACUGCCGGAGGCCAUCCCAUACGGCGCGGCUGGAGCCAUGCAGAGGCCAGCGGAAUUGCCGGUGUAGUGGUGAAAUGCGUAGAGAUCGGCAGGAACACCCAGGGGGAAACCAGCUGGCUGGGCAUGCGCUGACGCUCAUGUGCGAAAGCGUGGGGAGCGAACCGG